ACGCACGCUGGCGGCAGGCUUCACCCAUGCCAGUCGCACGGAUCCUUCGGGAUUAGUGGCAGACGGGUGAGUAACGCGUGGGAACGUACCCUUUGCUACGGAAUAACUCAGGGAAACUUGAGCUAAUACCGUAUGUGCCCUACGGGGGAAAGAUUUAUCGGCAAAGGAUCGGCCCGCGUUGGAUUAGCUAGUUGGUGGGGUAAUGGCCUACCAAGGCGACGAUCCAUAGCUGGUCUGAGAGGAUGAUCAGCCACACUGGGACUGAGACACGGCCCAGACUCCUACGGGAGGCAGCAGUGGGGAAUAUUGGACAAUGGGCGCAAGCCUGAUCCAGCCAUGCCGCGUGAGUGAUGAAGGUCUUAGGAUUGUAAAGCUCUUUCACCGGUGAAGAUAAUGACGGUAGCCGGAGAAGAAGCCCCGGCUAACUUCGUG
rnacentral:rRNA from 1 species